GAUCUGGGCUAGUUAAAAAAUGACUUCGGGGAGGCAGCCAUCUUGCUGUUGCCGCGUGCUGGUGUUGGAGGACCCUCCCUGCUUCAGAUUUACCAACAGCAUGAAUCAAGAAAAGUUAGCCAAACUUCAGGCUCAGGUCCGGAUAGGGGGCAAGGGUACAGCUCGCAGAAAGAAGAAGGUGGUAUACAGAACAGCUACAGCUGAUGACAAAAAGCUUCAGAGUUCUCUAAAAAAACUGGCUGUGAAUAAUAUAGCUGGUAUUGAAGAGGUGAACAUGAUUAAAGAUGAUGGGACAGUUAUUCAUUUCAACAAUCCCAAAGUCCAAGCUUCCCUUUCUGCUAACACCUUUGCAAUUACUGGUCAUGCAGAAGCCAAACCAAUCACAGAAAUGUUUCCUGGAAUAUUAAGUCAGCUUGGUGCUGACAGUUUAACAAGCCUUAGGAAGUUAGCUGAACAGUUCCCACGGCAAGUCUUGGACAGUAAAGCACCAAAACCAGAAGACAUUGAUGAGGAGGAUGAUGAUGUUCCAGAUCUUGUAGAAAAUUUUGAUGAGGCAUCAAAGAAUGAAGCUAACUAAAAGUUUGGUUUUUGGAAGCUGGCAUGGACUAGAUUUAACAAAUCAGCUAUGUGGUUCCAAAGUUUUACAGACACAGAGAACAUCACCUGUUACUAGUUCAGUAAUAUAAAUAUUUUGUAUAUUAAUAAUGCUGUUUGUUCAGCAUUUUUCAGUCAUUUGAUUUUGCAUUUUGCACUUCCUCCCAGGAUAUUUUUUUGGUCAAAAUAUGAAGUAUUGGUGCAGUUUGAGGGUGUUUUGUUUUUUUGAUUCCUGGUUUUUUUGUUUUUUGUUUGGGGUAUUUUUGGUGUAUGUAUGUUUAUGUAUGUGUGUGGGUAUGUGUAUAUACAGUGGAGAGCAAAUUGGAAAACAGUUCUAUUUAUCCUCCUCCCUCCCCAGUAGAAA